AGGGAGCGCCGGCGCGGCGCUGAGCUAAGCCGAUCCCACGUGUGACGGAUCUGGCUGCUGCCCCAGCGCCUCUCCAGUGAGAUCCUCCGGUAGCGGAGGGAGGAGGAGGAGGAGGAGGAGGGGGGAAGGGAAAAAGGGGCAAAGCAAGCGGAGCGAACCGAGCCGGAGCCGGGCCGGGGGGGGCGGGUUGGGCGGGCGGGGGGGGUUCUCUAAGGGGCUCUCGCUCGGCGCGGCCAUGGAGGCGGACGGGAGCCAGGCUACCUCGGGGAGCCCCGGAGAGGCGCAGCACGACCCCGGCAAGAUGUUCAUCGGCGGCCUCAGCUGGCAAACCUCACCAGACAGCCUUAGAGACUAUUUUAGCAAAUUCGGAGAAAUUAGGGAGUGUAUGGUCAUGCGGGACCCCACCACCAAGCGCUCCAGAGGCUUCGGGUUCGUUACGUUCGCGGAUCCGGCGAGUGUAGACAAAGUCCUGGCUCAGCCGCACCACGAGCUGGACUCCAAGACGAUUGACCCUAAAGUUGCGUUUCCCCGACGAGCACAGCCCAAGAUGGUCACAAGAACAAAGAAAAUAUUUGUAGGUGGAUUAUCGGCUAAUACAGUAGUGGAAGAUGUGAAGCAAUACUUUGAACAGUUUGGCAAGGUAGAGGAUGCCAUGCUAAUGUUUGACAAGACGACCAACAGGCAUAGAGGAUUUGGCUUCGUAACUUUUGAAAAUGAAGACGUGGUGGAGAAAGUCUGUGAAAUUCAUUUCCACGAAAUCAAUAAUAAAAUGGUAGAAUGUAAGAAAGCACAACCUAAAGAAGUGAUGUUUCCACCAGGGACGAGAGGAAGGGCACGUGGCUUGCCGUACACCAUGGACGCCUUCAUGCUGGGGAUGGGAAUGUUGGGUUACCCGAAUUUUGUUGCAACAUAUGGCCGAGGAUAUCCUGGAUUUGCCCCAAGUUACAGUUAUCAGUUCCCAGGUUUUCCAGCAGCGGCUUACGGACCAGUAGCAGCGGCAGCCGUGGCGGCAGCAAGAGGAUCAGGUAGGGGGGCCCGUGGAAGAGCAAACCCUCAGAGUGCAGGGUCAGAGGGUGUCUCUGAGGCAAACUUUCCGGCCUCUCUUACACUCGGACGUGCACACCUCCUCUCAAACACUCUUCUGAGCGCUCUCAGCGGGAAGUCUUGAAUAGCUACAGUGCUCAACCGAAUUUUGGCGCACCCGCUUCCCCGGCAGGCUCCAACCCAGCGCGGCCCGGAGGCUUCCCCGGGGCCAACAGCCCCGGGCCCGUGGCGGAUCUCUACGGCACGGCCAGCCAGGACUCCGCCGUGGGCAACUACAUAAGUGCUGCCAGCCCGCAGCCGGGCUCGGGCUUCGGCCACGGCAUCGCCGGACCUUUGAUUGCAACGGCUUUUACAAAUGGAUACCAUUGAAACGUUACACAUGGUUGGUUGCCAUCUCACUUGGAGAGUCUCUCUGGAUGUCCAGGCAAGACAGGGCGAAGUUUCUGAAGGGGCCCACGGUUGGGUGAUCUCAUCAGACUUUGAGCACUACAUCAUCAUCACCAUCAUCAUCAUCAUCAUCACCGCCAACGCAAACUGGAGGUGGCACUCGAAGGACUUGGGUUGUUUAAAAUCUCUCUCAUCAUCUCAUGAAUCUGCUGUACUAUAAAAACAACAGCUUUUAAAAGUAUGUAUAUAAAACCCAUUUCUUGUUCGUUUUAUUUUCUCGAUGGGUUCCCCCCCCUCUUUUUAAGCCUCUCCAAACCCACAUCUUUUCGUAGCCUUUCUGACAUAGUCUCGUAGCCACGUAGUCGCGAUUCGUUGUGUAUGUAGCGAGAGCCUAACCAUAGUGGAACUGUUAUAUUAAGGGGUUUCUUUUGCUUUUUCUUUCCCACCUCCCCUCCUCCUCCUCCUCCUCCUCCCUUCUGUUUUACGUAGUUGUUGUUGCUUAAAGGAUGCUGAGAUGGUGGCAGGAGCCUCGGCCGCGGGGGAGCGGAGCCGGCGGCGGGCGCGGCGCGGGGGGCUGGCAGGGCACGGGGAGGGGGAGCAACAGGUUCUCUGGCCCUUCUUUUCCUUUGUGGCGUCUUGGUUACUCUGAUUCUCUCUAUUUUCGGCAAUAAGGCGAGGGCGACAAACUUUUUGCGCGUCCUUUUUCUAUAUAAGUGCUUUUUUUUGUUGAAAGAGGUGAUAUAAGGUUUUUUGAAAUUGUGAAUUCUGAAAAAAAAAAAAAGAAAAAAAUAAUAAAGUGCUGUAAAUACAAUUCCAUUAACUACAUAGAAACUAUUAAGAAAGAGAAAUACAAACCUAUUUUUGUGACGGAGUCAGCCUAAGGCAGUUUCUCUCUGGAAAUGGAUGGACAGGACAGGAGGUUGCAGCUUUGGGAGCAGCUGCCCGGGGCUGUGCUGCGGUGGGACCCUCCCAGCCCGCCCAGUUCCCACCAGCAGCUUCGCUCUCACACUGCUCAGCUUGCAAAGGAACAGUCUGGUGGUCUUUUUAUUUUAAUUUAAAACCUGCUUUUCCCAAAACUGAUCAAGAAGCUACGAUUUUUCCUACUUAGCGCAUUUACGGUUCAAAGCACACUUUGUUUUGGUUUUGGUUUUUUUUUUUUUUUUUUUUAGUCAUUGUUUUAAACUAGAUCAACUUGCUGUCCAGUCAUUUCAGCUGCUCUGGGCACCCCACGAGGGCAGAGCAGCGUCCAGCUUGCAUGGUUUCCUUUAUUAUCCAUCACUUUCUGUAUUGUCAAAUUAGAAAGCAACUUUGGUUGGUUUUGAUUUCUUUUUUUUUUUAAUUUCUUUUUUUUUUGGUUUUUUUUUUGGGAAUACCUCAGUGCUACAAGUUUCACCCUAGAAGCAACGGAAGAUUUUAAUUUAUUGUAGUUGUAAACAGAAUUUAAAAGAAAUAAAGUAUAAAACAUCAUUGCACUGUGACUGGUAGGGGAAAAACUGACAGUUUCCUAUUUGCACAUGUUUAAUAUUUGGCUGUUAUAUAUAUGGUCCUCUGUUGGGGGAGGAAACUUAUGAAGGAUAUUUUUUAAUUUAAUUUUUUUAAUAUUGGUAAAUAGGCCUGCAACAGCAAACUAGAAGUACAACAUGGUAGGUGGCAUUAAGAACAUACUGUAGUGUGGAUAUAUUUCUUCUUUUUUUAACGUAAUAUUGACAAGUUUUAUUAAUAUUUUUUUAAAUUGUUACGUUUAUAAAUUUGGUACUUUAGGUACAGCCAGUAUAAGACACUGAAUGCGACAUUUGUUAAAAAGAGCUGCUGCACUCCUAUUUUUGUAAAUUUUACUAACAAGUAGACUAAUGUAGACAUUCAAUAGACAAGGUAGAGCAAGGCAUCUUUAACAAAACAAGGCACCAUACUGCUAACCGAAAGGAGAAACCUUGUUUUUCUUGUUUUUAAAAAAAAAAUCAUGCUUUUUAUGUAAUAUUUUAGGUUUUUUUCUUAUUUCAGAACAACCAGGUUUAAGCAAAAUGCUGGACGCUUUUUAAAUAUUGAGACUUGAUCAAGUAAUAAAAGAAAUAAAACCGAAUUCUUUAAAAAAUAAAAAGGUAAAAAAAAAAAUACUACGAACCAAAUUCCCUGCGAUUCAGUGUGCCGUCAGGGAAUUUUUUAUUGCUAUUUUGUCAAUGUUGAUGAUGUACUGUACUACCAGUUGGUUUUCCUCUCCAUUCCCUGUCACCUCAUAGAAUAUUCUUUGUUGAUCAUUGUUGUAUGUUAAUAGUGUAUAAAAUGGCUUAUCUUGUAAGAGUGCUGUCCUGAUGGUAGUGUAGUGAAUUUUUCCCCCCCUCUUUCUCUCUUCCUCUUCUAGUACAUAUUGGUAGGUGUAUCGUAAUUAAGGUUAAAAAUUUAGAUGUAGUUAUUCAGAUUUAGGACCAGUAAGGAUAGAACUUUCUCUUAUUUAAGAAAAAAAAAAUGCUAAUAAUUUUGGGAAGGUUUUCCUUUCUUGUUUUUUUCUUCUCUUUUUUCUUUCUGUGCUUUUUUUUCCUCUUGUUUAUUAUUUUUCUUCUGUUGAUCUGAUGCGGUUUCAACUAACCAAAGGUCUCACAAUGUUAAAAAUGCUGGCAAACUCUUAAGGCAUUUGUAGAUCCCCACCCAUGACUUUGGAAAGGGGAUGUGCCAUACUACCUUAAAUGCUAAUGCUAGAUAUGCAAAACUGGAUUUUUUUAAUUUAUUUUUUAAAAGAGGGAGGCACGGUAUAUUAAAACGAUUUUACUAAGAGAAAAAAAAAAAACAUAUUUUUUUAAGAAUGCUCAGAAGAAAUUGCUAAUCUGUGUGAAUAUGUUUUAGAUGUUUAUAUACCUUUUGAGAAGUCCCAGUGGCCCAUAGCACAAAUGUCGUGGAAUCCAAGAUGUUUUGAUGUGGCUACCUAGACUAAGGUUCACGUUAGUCCCCCACUCAUCUAGAAAUCAAUUUUGAAGGAUUUCUUUUUUUUCCUUUUUCUUCGUUUGGGGGUUUUUUGUAAAUUUUUCAGCACAAAGGUUCAGCUCCACCUUUGCUUUACUCAAGCCCAGGAGGGAGCGAGGGAUGGUGGAACCAUUGGGAGGGACCCUGGAGCUCACCCAGUGCCACCCUGGCGUGGCAGGGCCACCUCCCAGGGUCCAGCCUGGCCUGGGAGGGAGCCAGGGAUGGUGGAACCUUUGGGAGGGACCCUGGAGCUCACCCAGUGCCACCCUGGCGUGGCAGGGCCACCUCCCGCUGUCCCGGGGUCCAGCCUGGCUGGGAGCCUGCAGGGACAGAGCCCGGGGCUCUCAGGACAGUGCCCUGCCAGGACAGUGCCCAGCUGGGGUGACCAACAGGAGCCUUCUCCUCCAGGCUGGGUGACCUGGGCCCCCACAGGGACGCGUCCCAAACUCCAGGGACAAUCCCCAGGAGCCACCAGGGCUCGGGACCCUCCCCCUCCAAACGGCCCUUCGGGAUCGGCUUGAUUAAACUGAAGCCUGAUCUGUCCUUUGGGGUUUUUAUUUUUUCUUACACUUCAUAAAUGUUCAUUUUGAGUUGAAUUUGUAGCUUGGACUUUAAGGUAGCAUGGCUCUCUUUGCUGUAAGUUGAUUUUUUUUUUUUUCCAUUGUACAGCAGCGUCUGCUGGUGAAUGUCACACAUCUUGCUAGGCUUAGUUAAAUCAUUGGGUAAUUGUGGGUGAUAACGACCUGAAAGGUGUUGGGAUUUCUUUUCUUCCCUGCUUUCAUCUGUAGUGUGAAUGAGGGCUAGCGACUCCAGCCACACGUCCCUUCCUGUUUCGUUUCCGCCAUUCACUCAAUGCAACAUAAUCGAUAAUAAAGCAAUAUAGUUUACUACAUUUUUACUGAAGGCCAGCCAUGGUUCUGUAUGAUAUUGCAUAUGAAACUGUUUACAAAAACAAAAAAAAAAAACCUAAAAAAAAAAACUAAAAAAAACACUAACUCAUAGCUGUCUUUUAUGCUAUGGCGAUGUCUCUUGGGUGGAAUCUUCUGAAUUCUUUUUUUUAGUGGUUUGGUUUGUUUUUUUCAAAGCGACAUAGCUGAGAGAGAGGGAGGAGUGAGGUUAGUGUUGGCAGGAUGCCUGCAGGCACAGGGGCAGCCGCUCUGCUCUGCACACAGACACUGUAGAGAUUCCUCCGCACACACUGCAGCCGGCCCAGCACGACGUGAGGAGUCUGUCAGCUAAGCAAUACUUUAAUACUGUAAUGAAGUUACCAAAAAGAACCACAAUAAUAAUAAAUAAUAAUAAUAAAUAAUAAUAAUUUUUAAAAAGAUAAAAAAAAAACAAACUGUAGUUUGAGAAAGCAAAUCCUCGUGGUGGGUUGUGGGCCCCCUCCCACCCCAGCAGUCCGACCGUGUUGUGUGGAGAGCUCGGUGUCCGAGCAGGGCCCGGUGGCCAGAGGGGUCACCCUGGCUCAGGGGGUCACCCUGGUCUAGAGGGGUCACCCUGGUCAAGUGGGGUCACCCUGGCACAGAGGGGUCACCCUGGCUCAGGGGGUCACCCUGGCACAGAGGGGUCACUCUGGUCCAGAGGGAUCACCCUUGUCCAGAGGGGUCACUCUGGCUCAGGGGGGGUCACCCUGGCCCAGUGGGGUCACCCUUGUCCAGAGGGGUCACCCUGGUCAAGUGGGGUCACCCUGGUCAAGUGGGGUCACCCUGGCUCAGCAGGGUCACUCUUGCUCAGGGGGGUCACUCUGGCUCAUGGGGGUCACCCUGGCUCAGGAGGGGGUCACCCUGGUCCAGAGGGGUCACUCUGGCACAGAGGGGUCACCCCAGCCCAGAGGGGUCACCAUGGUCCAGUGGGGCCACCCCAGCUCAGCAGAGUCACCCCGGACCAGAGGGGUCACUCUGGAUCAGGGGGAUCACCCUGGUCCAGAGGGGUCCCCCAGCUCAGCAGGGUCCCCCCAUCAGGGUCCCCUGGCCCCGCGGGGUCCCCCCAGCAGGGUCACCCUGGCUUAGGGGGGUCCCCCCAGCCCCGCAGGGUCCCCCAUUCCCAGCCCUGGCCCGGGCUCGUCUGUCGGUGCCCGCCGUAGGUAGCACCCCCGUCAUUCUCUGUCGUACGAGGUCUGAACUCCCAUCAGUACUAGGAUGCACGUGAGCAUUUCAGGUGGUCAUAAAUGUACCUAAAUAAACUAUGGCACAGUGGCAGGCCUAGCCCUUCCUUUUAUACUUUAGUAUGAACUGAUGAGAACUUUGGUAGUGACUUUUUUUUUAUAUAUAUACAUAUAUAUAUGUAUCUAUAUAUAUCAAGCAUCUUUCAGGUCUCUGUGUAUGGCUUUCUGAAGCCCUGUUGUAAAAUACUAUGUGGAUGGGGGUCUCUCACAUCACAGAUGUGGAAAGUAUAAUUUUAUAUUUGUAUUUUCAAAUAAAUAAGUUUGUGAAAGGUUUCCAUCCUCUACUGUGGUCCAGAAAUCAAUGUGUUUGUCUGACGAAAAAAUACAAUAAACUGUUUUGAACAGA